rnacentral:miRNA from 1 species
UAUUAGGUUGUGCAAAAGUAAUUGCAGUUUUUGCCAUUGAAGGUAAUGGCAAAUAUGUCCUUCAUUAGAACACGAUGGCAGGAACUUCUAUCCUU